GACGUAGGAUGCAAGCGUUGUCCGGAAUUAUUGGGCGUAAAGAGUUCGUAGGCGGUUACUUAAGUCUGGUGUUAAAGACGGGAGCUCAACUCCCGCAUGGCAUUGGAAACUGGGUGACUAGAGUGUGGUAGAGGUCUCGGGAAUUCCAGGUGUAGCGGUGAAAUGCGUAGAUAUCUGGAGGAACACCAGUGGCGAAAGCGCGAGACUGGGCCAUAACUGACGCUGAGGAACGAAAGCCAGGGUAGCAAAAGGG
rnacentral:rRNA from 1 species